UUUUGGUCCGUUUGUGGGGCCCGCUUUUGUCCUGAUUUUUCUCGUUCUUUCCAACACACGCGUAGAGAGAGAGAGAGAGAGAGAGAUAGGGGGUGCGGGAGGUAGAGUGGGAGAGAGAUUUAGAGGCGAUUUCGCCGCGGUGAGGAGUGCGGCUCGCCGUGGCGGAGAUUUCGUCGUGCCGGUGCUGAUCUGUGUCGUGUUUGAGUUUGUUUUUCGCCGGUGAGGAGCUCCUGCUCAACGGAUUUUUCCACUGUGUCGAGUUAUUCGUCGUUGAAGAUUCAUUUGGCCAGUUUUUUUUUGUUUUUUUUCAUGUUCAUCACUGCCUCCUCCUCUAUUUUUUCGCCAUGCCGGUGCCGAUCUGUUCGUUGACAUCGUUUUUGUCGGUGAGGAGGGUAUGAUGUACCACGUUUUCCACUGUGUCGAGCUGGUCAUAGACGUAGGUUUUUUUUUUGGCGAUUUGUUCAUGUCGUUCUCCAUUUUUUCCUUCCAAUAGAUCUAGCUUGGACAUGCACCAUUUAUGUUUGAUUUUUUUGAUUUUUUGUGAAUAGGUUGUGUUCUAGAUUCAUUUGUUUUUGUUUUUUUCAUGUUCCUCCCCACGUCCUUCUUCAUUUAUUUCUUCGAAUAGAUCUAGCUAGGACUUGCACAAAUUAUGUAACCCCAUCUCAUUUGCUACUUCCCUAACCUAUUUGUUUUUUUAGAUCUGCUUUGUUUCAUGUUUUCAAUGCUAUUUUUAUUUUUUUUUCAUGUUGUUUAAUGUUCGAUUUGCAGCUGUUUUCUGGUUUUUUUUUUGUCUUACUUUGUGUAUUUGUUAUAUGAGGCGCAGAUCUGCUUAAUUCAUCGAAGAUGGGUAAUGAUAAGGACAUUGAGGAUAUUUUGUCUGAUUCUAUUUCUUCUGAGUCUGAUAGUUCUACAAAUGAUGAAUGCUAUUCUGAUAGUGAUGAAUCUAAAGAUCCUUGUAAUGUAAUAUCAAAGGAUGAGUUAAUGUUGUUUUAAUAUUCAACUUGAUUCGGCUCAGAUCUGGAUUAUUUGUAGCUUUUCCUUGAAUCCAACUAUACUUAGUAGGAACAAUCUUAUGGUUGAUGUGAAAUACUGCAUGUGCAUGUGUUUGUUUUUUCCCCUAUAUAUGUGAAAUGAUGUUUUUCUAUUUUCUUAGGAACAUAUCUAUUGUAUAUACACCAUUAUUGAUGCAUUUAAUAUUUGCUAGUAUUUCAUUCUUAUUGUUUACACACCAUUAUUUGUAUUUUUUUCCUUUUUUUUUUGCUUUACUCAGUUAUCAACCUGUGAUAAUUAGUUGGUUCUCUGUUUUUGUUCAUAUGUUUUCAUUUGAUAUGAUCCCCAUGUAAUGUUCCAUUUGUCCAAAUCUGAAGCAUUUCUUUUGUUGUCUUCAAUUGCUGCUGCUAUUGCUGCAAAAUGAUUGUAGGGUGUGUGUAGAGAUUUCAACCAAUUUAAGGUUUAAGCUAUGGGCUUCUAUGUCCAAUGGUCUUUUUCUCUUAUUAAAUGACUUAUUUAGUACUCCAUUAAUAUUGGCAAGCAUGAACAUCGUUGCUGCUCAUGUUGAAGUACAACCUCAUUUACAUGUAUAAAAUGAACACCAUGUGUUUAUGCGUCUCCUAAUUAAGACCAGUGAAUUUUCUUCUGCUUUCUUUGUCUAUCUACAACAAAAAUAUUUUUGCUUUUUGCUGUCUCCUGUGUGUGUAUACUUAUGUUUAUAGCAACUUAUGUCUCAAAGAAUAUUAUUCCAACAUUGAACAUGUAGUUUAUUUAUGUUCACACAAAUCAUCUAGUUUAUUUUUGUAGAUAAACUGGAGUAUAUUUAUGCUAUUAAUCUCACACGUCAAAUUUGCAAAUUUGCUCCAACAAACUGACAUGGCACAGACUUUGAAUUGAAGUUAUUUAUUUUUCUUGUUGAAAUAAUUGUUCCAUAGGAUUGGUUUCAAAUUUUAUUUUCUACUUGCAUUAUUCUGCUUGUUGUGUAGAUUCCUAACUAUGAAAUGCAUUGUCUAGGUAUAUAAUUGCAUAUCUCUUUAGUUUUAUAAAUUUGAUUCAAAAUUGAAGUGUACUGGAUUGGAGGAUUACUUGAAGAAUAAUCUUCCAGUUGGCUGAGGACACAUUUUAUAAUAGAAAUCAUGAUCUAAAAUAAACAUAUGGAAUCAGUUACAUGAGCUUUAUAUUGAAGUUACAGAGUUUUUUCCAAUGUAAUUCCUAUACAAUUUCACUGUAAUUUGAUUAGAUAAGUUAAAGGUCAGAUUUAAUUUCAUAAUAAGAUUUAAAGUUUUAUCCCAAUUGAUGAUAUUACUCAUAAGCAAAUCAUAGUUUUGCAGUUCAUCUGUUCAGAAGCAUGCAGAGUUAGAGUUGAAGAAUUUGGUACCUAUCAUGUGUAGUGAUAUGUCUGAAUUAUGAUUUCUGAUUUGAGCUAUAUGCCUGUUUCUUAAGAAAAUUCAAAACAAGUUAGUGUCUGACAUGACAAUCUACCUUAUAUCAAUCUCAUUUGACAGAAAUGUAGAUCAAUAUUCAGAAGAUUUGAGUUAAGUUUUGUGAUUUAUUCUGAUGAAGAUUCAUAUCAAGAAGGUUCAAAGAAGAUUCAGAACAAGAAUCAGAAGACUAAACCAAAGAAGAAUGAAUUUUAAUUUGGAUGCAAUUUGAAGAUCAAGAAACAAAUGAACAAGUCACUGGAUUCAGAAGAAGAAGAUUUGUUAAAUAGAUUUGAUGCAUCAACCAGAUUCAGAAGAUUCUUUUUCUUCUUGAAUAGUGUUUUGGGUUAUCUAUCUUUGUUAGUGUUUUGGGUUUUGUAUAUAUUGUUAGUUAAGUUGCUGGGCUAAAUUUGAGUCAGUUCUUUUGUUUUGGGCCUUUAAAUUGACUACAGUGUUAAUUUGGGCUUUCAUUUGAUGUAAAUUUUGUAUUUGGGCUCAAUCUGGACUAUUUGAUUGGGUCGAGUUGUAUUUGAGCCCUUCGAAAAUGGGCUUCCAAACCUAUUUGUUAUUGUUUAUCUAUGUAUUUUUAAUUUUUAUUUGUCAAA